rnacentral:rRNA from 1 species
UCGGAGUGCUUGCACUCUGUGAAACAAGAUACAGGCUAGCGGCGGACGGGUGAGUAACACGUGGGUAACCUGCCCAAGAGAUCGGGAUAACACCUGGAAACAGAUGCUAAUACCGGAUAACAACAGAUGAUGCCUAUCAACUGUUUAAAAGAUGGUUCUGCUAUCACUCUUGGAUGGACCUGCGGUGCAUUAGCUAGUUGGUAGGGUAACGGCCUACCAAGGCGAUGAUGCAUAGCCGAGUUGAGAGACUGAUCGGCCACAUUGGGACUGAGACACGGCCCAAACUCCUACGGGAGGCAGCAGUAGGGAAUCUUCCACAAUGGACGCAAGUCUGAUGGAGCAACGCCGCGUGAGUGAAGAAGGGUUUCGGCUCGUAAAGCUCUGUUGUUGGUGAAGAAGGACAGGGGUAGUAACUGACCUUUGUUUGACGGUAAUCAAUUAGAAAGUCACGGCUAACUACGUGCCAGCAGCCGCGGUAAUACGUAGGUGGCAAGCGUUGUCCGGAUUUAUUGGGCGUAAAGCGAGUGCAGGCGGCUCGAUAAGUCUGAUGUGAAAGCCUUCGGCUCAACCGGAGAAUUGCAUCAGAAACUGUCGAGCUUGAGUACAGAAGAGGAGAGUGGAACUCCAUGUGUAGCGGUGAAAUGCGUAGAUAUAUGGAAGAACACCGGUGGCGAAGGCGGCUCUCUGGUCUGUUACUGACGCUGAGGCUCGAAAGCAUGGGUAGCGAACAGGAUUAGAUACCCUGGUAGUCCAUGCCGUAAACGAUGAGUGCUAAGUGCUGGGAGGUUUCCGCCUCUCAGUGCUGCAGCUAACG